rnacentral:lncRNA from 1 species
AUGACAUCACAAUACCCCAUAAUGACAUCACAAUACCCCAUAAUGACAUCACAAUACCCCAUAAUGACAUCACAAUACCCCAUAAUGACAACACAAUACCCCAUAAUGACAUCACAAUACCCCAUAAUGACAUCACAAUACCCCAUAAUGACAUCACCAUACCCCAUAAUGACAUCACAAUACCCCAUAAUGACAUCACAAUACCCCAUAAUGACAUCACAAUACCCCAUAAUGACAUCACAAUUAUGGGGUAUUGUGAUGUCAUUAUGGGGUAUUGUGAUGUCAUUAUGGGGUAUUGUGAUGUCAUUAUGGGGUAUUGUGAUGUCAUUAUGGGGUAUUGUGAUGUCAUUAUGGGGUAUUGUGAUGUCAUUAUGGGGUAUUGUGAUGUCAUUAUGGGGUAUUGGUUGUAGAUUGAUGAGGGGAAAAAAACAACAAUUGAAUACAUUUUAGAAUAAGGCUGUAACCUAAACAAAAUGUGGAGAGAGUCAAGGGGUCUGAAUACUUUCCGAAUGCACUGUAUAUCUCCUAGUUUUAGGACAGACACUUCAAAACCUUGUUCCCGAUGAUUUCUUUUUUGACUGUCUCAUUUUUUUGCCAUUUAUGAAUGUGUUAUUCAAUGCGUUUAUCUGGGCUAUAGCAGAAAAGGACAAAUUCUGUUUCAUCAAAUAUUAUUUAUUUUUAUUCCUACAGGGUUCCUAAAAUUUUAAAUAAAUCUUAAAACAAUUCCAUAAUGUAUGUUAUCUUAGUAGAGAUUGAUAUCUAAGUGCUGAAACCUAAAGGGUGAACAUGGUCCUGAUAGAAACUCGUCUGCUUCCUCGUUCUGAACUAUUGCUCAGUUUAGUACCAGUGCAGUAAUAGCACCAAGCGACCACUAGAUGGGGGUGUAGGACCACUACAUAAGGAAGUGUCCUGUACUGUGUAAUAUAUUAGUAGUCAACACAGAACUUGGCUUCUGCAGCCAAAGACGAGCUUUUGAAGUCAACAUAUCUACUGCGUUUUACACUGUAAUUUAAUCUCACGCUAACACAGUUUAAUUGUGUGUGUGAGUGAAAAAGAGAGGGAACGGUGUGUGUGUGUGUGUGUGUGUGUGUGUGUGUGUGUGUGUGUGUGUACGCUCCGAUACAAUGUGUCUUUGUGAGUCCUUGGCAUGCGGUCAGAACUGUUUGGAUAUCAGUGAAAGGAGAGGGAAUGAGAGGGAUAUCAGUGAAAGGAGAGAGUGAAUGAGACAAAGAGAGAGGAAGGGCGGUGAAAGGGGGAGGGAGAGAGAGAGUGAAAGAUGGGAGAGAGAGAGAGUGAAAGACGGGAGAGAGAGAGAAUGAAAGACGGCAGAGAGAGAGGAAGGGCGGUGAAAGAGGGAGGGAGGGAGAGAGAGAGUG